CCCUUAGAUGUCCUGGGCCGCACGCGCGCUACACUGAUGCAUUCAACGAGUUUUACCUUGGCCGAGAGGCCUGGGCAAUCUUUUAAACCUGCAUCGUGAUAGGGAUAGAUUAUUGCAAUUAUUAAUCUUGAACGAGGAAUUCCUAGUAAACGCAAAUCAUCAAUUUGCAUUGAUUACGUCCCUGCCCUUUGUACACACCGCCCGUCGCACCUACCGAUUGAAUGGUCCGGUGAAGCCUCGGGAUUGUGGCCAGUUCACUUUAUUGGGAGUUGGCUGUGAGAACUUGUCUAAACCUUAUCAUCUAGAGGAAGGUGAAGUCGUAACA
rnacentral:rRNA from 1 species